rnacentral:sRNA from 12 species
UCGCAGCCUAAGCGACCCGCGAGGGGCAUUAGGACAGGGGUUGGUCGGUGAGUACCCUGAUUCGGAAAUAACCCCGACAGCU